UUGGUUUUGCCUUUGGCUUCCUCCUGUCUUUGGCUUUUGCUUCCUCCGGUUUUUUGCCUUCUUUUCUCCUGAUGUGCUGGACCGUUCAUACUGCAGUCGCCACUUAUGACGAUCCUUCAUGAAGCCUCGGCCAUUUUCUUUCUCAUCUAGCAUCUCUUUCCCUAUCCGCAGUGGAGCGGUGCCGCAACAAGAGGUGAAGAUGACGCAGGAGAAAGCCCCCAAAGGUGGGACCAUCUACCAUCGGCCACCAUGGGAGGACUGGCGACUGGCAUGACAUGUUGCUUUUGGAGAAGAUCGGUAAAGGUGGAGGCCAUUGGGAUUUUGGGAGGAACUUCCGCCAAAGUUGGGCAUCGGUAGUGCAGCAGCAUGAGUGGCGAACACUCGACCUAUCUCCCUAGCAAGACCACACCUUCUCCGCCACGGCUUCUCCCUGUCGGCUGAGCUGCUAGCUUCACCAUCCUUCCUCGGUCGCUCUCCUUCGCCUUAGCUGGCUCCUUGACCCCAUGGCUCAAGUAUGGUGUAAGUGCUGGAAGCAGCGAUAUACCCUCCACAAGAUGCACUUGUAGGGCGGCCUUAAUUUUUGCUACAACGGCCGGAGUACCAACUGCUGUUCAUGGUGGUGUGUACGCGAUUGGAGCAGGUGGCUACGGAGGUUUUUUUUCCCAACAUGGAUGGUAGCAUAACCUACGGAUCGAUCCACCACCUCUUCGACAUAGGCAUAGUGUCGGUCUAAAGGACUCUACUGUUGCCGAUUUGUCGAUUUUUAUUUCAUGAAUUUUUGUCAGACUUUUGGAUUUGGCUGUGUGCAUCUUAGUUACGCAGAGGCCGGGUGUUACUCAUAAUGCUUUGUAUCCGCUUGAUGCUACAUUUUGAGAUAAUAAAGUCGCCCUCUAUCGAAAAAAAUGUCUCCAAGACAUAACGACGGCGGCGAGGAUAUGGUGUUCACUGCUAUGGGAGACGAAGAACAAGAUGUCGCCAUUGCUAUACUUUGGUGAAUUGGAAACAGUGCGGGGUGCAGGAAAUGGCUGCUAGGGGUGUGUUAGAAGGACGAUGUAAUAAAUUGGAUUGGAUGGAGUACGACUCACGUCCACCACACACAUCCAGGAAACAAGAACCCGGUCCAAGAAGAUGAGCAAACGUCGGGACCGUAGAAGACCAUGGUCGGCUCCAGCAAUAAUGGCUACCUGACAAGGCGCAGCGGCACUGUUCGAUAAUGUUGUUUCCUGCCGAAAUACUCAAGC